GGAGUUAUUAUUCAGAAGUUCUUCGGGAUGGAAGGAUAAGAACUUAGUGGCGGACGGGUGAGUAACGCGUGGGUAACCUGCCCUUUUGUGGGGAACAACUUCGAGAAAUCGGAGCUAAUACCGCAUAAUAAUAGAGGAUCGCAUGAUUCUUUAAGGAAAGAUGGCCUCUGAAGAUGCUAUCGCAAAAGGAUGGACCCGCGUCUGAUUAGCUAGUUGGAAGGGUAACGGCCUACCAAGGCAACGAUCAGUAGCCGGCCUGAGAGGGUGAACGGCCACAUUGGGACUGAGACACGGCCCAAACUCCUACGGGAGGCAGCAGUGGGGAAUCUUCCGCAAUGGGCGAAAGCCUGACGGAGCAAUGCCGCGUGAGUGAAGAAGGCCUUCGGGUUGUAAAACUCUGUCCUUAUCGAAGAGAGGUAGGUAUGUGAAUAAUGUACCUAUAGGACGGUAGAUAAGGAGGAAGCCCCGGCUAACUACGUGCCAGCAGCCGCGGUAAUACGUAGGGGGCGAGCGUUGUCCGGAAUCACUGGGCGUAAAGGGCGCGUAGGCGGUUUAAUAAGUCAGUGGUGAAAACUGAGGGCUCAACCCUCAGCCUGCCACUGAUACUGUUAGACUUGAGUAUGGAAGAGGAGAAUGGAAUUCCUAGUGUAGCGGUGAAAUGCGUAGAUAUUAGGAGGAACACCAGUGGCGAAGGCGAUUCUCUGGGCCAAGACUGACGCUGAGGCGCGAAAGCGUGGGGAGCAAACAGGAUUAGAUACCCUGGUAGUCCACGCCGUAAACGAUGGAUACUAGGUGUU
rnacentral:rRNA from 1 species